CCUGGUAGCUCAGUGGUUAAAGAACCUGCCUGCAGUGCAGGAGACCUGGGUUCUAUCCCUGCGUCAGGA
rnacentral:tRNA from 1 species